rnacentral:rRNA from 1 species
ACGAACGCUGGCGGCAGGCCUAACACAUGCAAGUCGAACGCCUGGAGCAAUCCAGGAGUGGCGCACGGGUGAGUAACACGUGGGUACCUACCCCUUGGUACGGAACAACCCAGGGAAACUUGGGCUAAUACCGUAUGUACUCUUCGGAGAAAAGAUUUAUCGCCAGGGGAUGGGCCCGCGGCGGAUUAGCUAGUUGGUGAGGUAACGGCUCACCAAGGCGACGAUCCGUAGCUGGUCUGAGAGGAUGAUCAGCCACACUGGGACUGAGACACGGCCCAGACUCCUACGGGAGGCAGCAGUGGGGAAUAUUGGACAAUGGGCGCAAGCCUGAUCCAGCCAUGCCGCGUGAGUGAUGACGGCCCUUGGGUUGUAAAGCUCUUUCGUCGGGGAAGAUAAUGACGGUACCCGAAGAAGAAGCCUCGGCUAACUCCGU